rnacentral:rRNA from 1 species
AUGAACGCUGGCGGCGUGCCUAAUACAUGCAAGUCGGACGCAAUGCUUCGGCAUUGAGUGGCGAACGGGUGAGUAAUACAUAAGCAACCUGCCCCUGUGAGGGGGAUAACUGCUGGAAACGGCAGCUAAGACCGCAUAGGCAUACAUGACGCAUGUCGAGUAUGUUAAAUAUCCUACGGGAUAGCACAGGGAUGGGCUUAUGACGCAUUAGCUAGCUGGUGAGGUAGAGGCUCACCAGGGCGACGAUGCGUAGCCGGCCUGAGAGGGUGGACGGCCACACUGGGACUGAGACACGGCCCAG